AUUGAACGCUGGCGGCAGGCCUAACACAUGCAAGUCGAACGGUAACAGGAAGAAGCUUGCUUCUUUGCUGACGAGUGGCGGACGGGUGAGUAAUGUCUGGGAAACUGCCUGAUGGAGGGGGAUAACUACUGGAAACGGUAGCUAAUACCGCAUAACGUCGCAAGGCCAAAGAGGGGGACCUUCGGGCCUCUUGCCAUCGGAUGUGCCCAGAUGGGAUUAGCUAGUAGGUGGGGUAACGGCUCACCUAGGCGACGAUCCCUAGCUGGUCUGAGAGGAUGACCAGCCAAACUGGAACUGAGACACGGUCCAGACUCCUGCGGGAGGCAGCAGUGGGGAAUAUUGCACAAUGGGCGCAAGCCUGAUGCAGCCAUGCCGCGUGUAUGAAGAAGGCCUUCGGGUUGUAAAGUACUUUCAGCGGGGAGGAAGGGAGUAAAGUUAAUACCUUUGCUCAUUGACGUUACCCGCAGAAGAAGCACCGGCUAACUCCGUGCCAGCCGCCGCCGUAA
rnacentral:rRNA from 1 species